rnacentral:rRNA from 1 species
UACAGAGGGUGCAAGCGUUGUUCGGAAUUAUUGGGCGUAAAGGGUAGGUAGGUGGUCUCAUUUGUCUGGGGUGAAAUCCUUGGGCUUAACUCAAGAAGUGCCCCAGAAACGGUGAGACUAGAGUGCUGGAGAGGGUCGUGGAAUUCCCGGUGUAGCGGUGAAAUGCGUAGAGAUCGGGAGGAACACCAGAGGCGAAGGCGGCGACCUGGACAGCUACUGACACUCAACUACGAAAGCGUGGGGAGCAAACAGG